rnacentral:rRNA from 1 species
AUUGAACGCUGGCGGCAGGCCUAACACAUGCAAGUCGAACGGUAGCAGGAAGAAGCUUGCUUCUUUGCUGACGAGUGGCGGACGGGUGAGUAAUGUCUGGGAAACUGCCUGAUGGAGGGGGAUAACUACUGGAAACGGUAGCUAAUACCGCAUAACGUCGCAAGACCAAAGAGGGGGACCUUCGGGCCUCUUGCCAUCAGAUGUGCCCAGAUGGGAUUAGCUAGUAGGUGGGGUAACGGCUCACCUAGGCGACGAUCCCUAGCUGGUCUGAGAGGAUGACCAGGCACACUGGAACUGAGACACGGUCCAGACUCCUACGGGAGGCAGCAGUGGGGAAUAUUGCACAAUGGGCGCAAGCCUGAUGCAGCCAUGCCGCGUGUGUGAAGAAGGCCUUCGGGUUGUAAAGCACUGUCAGCGGGGAGGAAGGGGGAAUGGUUAAUAACCAUUACCAUUGACGUUACCCGCAGAAGAAGCACCGGCUAACUCCGUGCCAGCCGCCGCAGUAA